CUUGCUGCUUCGCUGACGAGUGGCGGACGGGUGAGUAAUGUCUGGGAAACUGCCUGAUGGAGGGGGAUAACUACUGGAAACGGUAGCUAAUACCGCAUAACGUCGCAAGACCAAAGAGGGGGACCUUCGGGCCUCUUGCCAUCGGAUGUGCCCAGAUGGGAUUAGCUUGUUGGUGGGGUAACGGCUCACCUAGGCGACGAUCCCUAGCUGGUCUGAGAGGAUGACCAGCCACACUGGAAUGACACACGGUCCACACU
rnacentral:rRNA from 1 species